rnacentral:rRNA from 1 species
UACGUAGGGUGCGAGCGUUAAUCGGAAUUACUGGGCGUAAAGCGUGCGCAGGCGGCGCGUUAAGACAGGUGUGAAAGCCCCGAGCUUAACUUGGGAAUUGCGCUUGUGACUGGCGUGCUGGAGUGUGGCAGAGGGAUACGGAAUUCCAGGUGUAGCGGUGAAAUGCGUAGAUAUCUGGAGGAACACCGGUGGCGAAGGCGGCAUCCUGGACCGGCAUUGACGCUGAGGCGCGAAAGCGUGGGGAGCGAACAGG